UCUCAUCCACGCUACAUAGUUAAGUAUAGCUCUUUUGAUAAGAAUUACUUCACAGGGCUCUAUUGUACCUGGAUAGUCAUAAUUUUUGACAACCAUGCAAUUAUCUUUUCUAUUGUGAGCUUUCUUAAAAAUAUCCAGGGUUAAUUGGAUAGAGCUUCUGUUUUGGAAAGAAGAGGGAAGAUACUCUAUUCUGGGUCCUGUACCCUGAGAAAGCUUGACUAUCAGGGCUCUGCUGAUGCUGCCCCAGGCUGAGACGGACUGAAGUUUCUAUUUCAGACAGCACAGGAAAGGAGUCCCAUAAGAGACCCAGACUUCAGAAAUGAUUGUCAGGAAUGAUGACAGAAUAUCUGGAAACCAAAGAAGAAAACUGUGAAGUUCCCCAACCCCAAGUUAAAAAAAAUAAACCACCAGUGGCUCUUCAGUGGCUUGGAAUUUUCUGUUCGCACUCAAUGAUUUAGCCUGAUACAUCUCUAUUUGUACCUAAAUGCCACUUCAGGUGUAUUUUUCAAUUGUUGAAAUAUUAGACAUUCAGUGCUCUCUUAUACAGUACAUGUAUGUUAGCAUCUCAAGAAAAUUAAACCACAAAAUAGACAGGCAGUCACUCUGAUUUUAUCCAUAUUGAUAUUUAGGCAACAGUGUUAAAGACACUCAUGUUAACCCCAAAGACUAUGCAGGUCAACUGUAUCAAGAGGUUUUCCAAAGCAACAACAACAACAACAACAACAACAACAACAACAACAGGACAACCAAUAAAACAUUUAAGCUGAUAAGCUUCAUUCCUGAAAGGGCAGCAAAAUUGAGGGGAGGAGUGUGGCUACAGUGAAUGGGUGUCACUGAGAGUCAUGAAUAGGGAGCACUUUGGUUGGAGAUUCAGAGCUCUGGAGUGUGACUGCGGAGGGAAGCAUGCAUGAAGAUCACUUUGGCUUUUGAAAUGUUAAGUUCCACCCAGUUGUAAGUAGGAGAGACAGUGCUAACCCUGUCACUUUCAUGCUUUCUCUCCAAACUGGAAUGCUACUGUUGGGUUUCAGGAAAAUAAGGAAGGUUUUGGGUGUGUGUCUACCCAAGCAAGGAGGAUUUCAGAGUUGCAGCCAACCUCACUCUGGAAUUAAUCAUCGAAGUUGAUCUCAAUAACAAGCCAUAAGUAUGGCUACAGUGACUUAAGGACUAUUUUAUUAGGCA
rnacentral:lncRNA from 1 species